rnacentral:tRNA from 1 species
ACUCUUUUAGUAUACUAGUACAUGUAACUUCCAAUUACAAAGUUUAAAAUAAUUUAAAAAGAGUA